UACGUAGGGGGCAAGCGUUGUCCGGAUUUAUUGGGCGUAAAGAGCUCGUAGGCGGUUCGUCGCGUCGGCUGUGAAAUCCCGAGGCUCAACCUCGGGUCUGCAGUCGAUACGGGCGGACUGGAGUUCGGCAGGGGAGACUGGAAUUCCUGGUGUAGCGGUGAAAUGCGCAGAUAUCAGGAGGAACACCAACGGCGAAGGCAGCUCGCUGGAACGUAACUGACGCUGAGACGCGAAAGCGUGGGGAGCAAACAGG
rnacentral:rRNA from 1 species